rnacentral:rRNA from 1 species
UGCCUACGGGGGGCAGCAGUAGGGAAUCUUCCACAAUGGACGAAAGUCUGAUGGAGCAACGCCGCGUGAGUGAAGAAGGGUUUCGGCUCGUAAAGCUCUGUUGGUAGUGAAGAAAGAUAGAGGUAGUAACUGGCCUUUAUUUGACGGUAAUUACUUAGAAAGUCACGGCUAACUACGUGCCAGCAGCCGCGGGAAUACGUAGGUGGCGAGCGUUGUCCGGAAUCACUGGGCGUAAAGGGCGCGUAGGCGGUUUAAUAAGUCAGUGGGGAAAACUGAGGGCUCAACCCUCAGCCUGCC